UUUCCUUGGCAUAGUUCACCAUUAUUAUUUAUUUUAUUAAAUUUUAGCUUUUCAGUUUCCAUCCUUUGUUUUAUAUAAUUUUGUGGACCAUCUAAAUUACCAUUUUGAGUUAUAUAAUGAAACAAAAUAAUGAUGUUGGGUUUGUAAUCUUAGAACUUUUGAUACUACAAUUUAUAUAAUCAAAUGCCGAAAGAAUGUCUUUAAGUAUACAGUCAAAUAUUAUGCUUGCUACAGUUUCACACUCAGCUACGUAAAUCUGCUCUGGCUGAGAUUUGGACUAAUAUAUGAUUUUGAGUUUCAUUGACGUUUUGUUUUGCGAUUCCAACUCUCUACACUUUUGAGAAGUUUACCACAUUUUCUAAAUCAUUGGAUUUAUCGGCGGUAAUUGGAGAUGAAUUUCAAUUAAAUAUACAUAUACUAGUUGGUGGAAUUGCAUGAUUGGAGUAUCACAAUUAUUACAUUAAAUUUUUAGUUGAUUUUAUUUUGGUGAAUAAAUCAGUGACGUUGAACGAUAUUUUUCGGGUACGAAGAAGUUUGUAAAAAAUGUGUUUUAUUUUAUGCCCGGGAUCUGAGGUGGAGUUUCAGCUAAGCAGAGCCUAAUCUAUAUUGUGGUGAGUGCGGGGCGUGCUUGGAUUGGGGUACACGAUGUAUCGGUGGUCGCUGAGGUUUUCCCUGUUCGGGAGAACCGACCAGCCGGACAUGUGCGGGUGCAGCGACGGGGACACCAGCGUGACGUCCACCAUCAAACUCGAGGAGUGACCCUCGGACGUCGGGGUAGAGCCCCUAUUGGCCGACACCAGCCCAAGGGCCGAUAUCAGGUUACGAUAAUAACAAAAACUAUGUAAUAGUUCACAUUUGUUGAAAAGGGCAAACACUUUUGAUGAAUAUGAGCCCUCGAAGAGGUGUAAAUAUUCAAGCUGCGUAGAGUUUCACUCUAAUAAAUACGGGCCAGAAAAUAGAGUAGUGUUGAAGAUAAGGGCUACAUCUUCAAUAUCUGAUUCAGACGACGAAUCGAAAAAUACAGAAGAUUCAGAAACUGACUAUGAUUGCAACGGACUUUUCCCUAACACAGCACGGCCUACUGAAACACGUGAUUGUAUGUGUCACGAAGAAAAGUUCAAACGCUCACGAAACAUGUAAAUCGUUGAAGAGACUCGAAUACUCGAGUAGUGUUAAGAUUUACGUAGCUCAUUCUGAUGAAUUGGAAGACAGAAUAGUGUUAAAAAUGUCAAAAAUAUUCAAAACAAAACUAAAAUAUUAGACAUA